rnacentral:SRP_RNA from 1 species
UGGCCGGGCCCAUGCAAGCGGUGCUCGUGAAUUUGGUCAGAUACGGAAGUAAGCAGCCAUAAGCGAAAGUAUUGCUGUGCCUGGAAAACCCGGCCUUAU